UGUCACCUUAAGAGCCGUUGAAGACUACGACGUUGAUAGGUUGGAUGUGGAAGUGUAGCGAUACAUGAAGCUGACCAAUACUAAUUGCUCGUGAGGCUUGACUAUACAACACCCAAACAGUUG
rnacentral:rRNA from 2 species